rnacentral:rRNA from 1 species
GACGAAGGUGGCGAGCGUUGUUCGGAAUCAUUGGGCAUAAAGCGCACGUAGGCGGUGUCGUAAGUCGGGUGUGAAAUCCCUCGGCCUAACCGAGGAACUGCGCCCGAUACUGCGAUGCUUGAGGACCAGAGGGGUGCAUGGAAUUUCCGGUGGAGCGGUGAAAUGCGUUGAUAUCGGAAGGAACUCCGGCGGCGAAAGCGAUGCACUGGCUGGUUUCUGACGCUGAGGUGCGAAAGCCAGGGGAGCAAACGGG